UUUUCUUAUAAAAUAAUAUUUAUAGAACUCUGCGCAAAUAAUUUUUAUAGCGUAAAAGCAAAAUAAAUUCAUAUAUAUAAUAGCACACUAAACCAGGUAUACGAAAAUAUUCUACAAUGACAUGUGGGCCCCAAAAUAAUCGCAAAUAUACAAGACUGUAGACCUUCAAUUUCUAAGGAUGCAAGUCCAAAAGCAAACCCUCGACAUAAUCAGCGGUCUACAGACUACCCUGAGCC
rnacentral:lncRNA from 1 species